CCUACGGGAGGCUGCGGUGAGGAAUAUUGGUCAAUGGACGAGAGUCUGAACCAGCCAAGUAGCGUGAAGGAUGACUGCCCUAUGGGUUGUAAACUUCUUUUAUAUGGGAAUAAAACGUUCCACGUGUGGGAUUUUGUAUGUACCAUAUGAAUAAGGAUCGGCUAACUCCGUGCCAGCAGCCGCGGUAAUACGGAGGAUCCGAGCGUUAUCCGGAUUUAUUGGGUUUAAAGGGAGCGUAGGUGGAUUGUUAAGUCAGUUGUGAAAGUUUGCGGCUCAACCGUAAAAUUGCAGUUGAAACUGGCAGUCUUGAGUACAGUAGAGGUGGGCGGAAUUCGUGGUGUAGCGGUGAAAUGCUUAGAUAUCACGAAGAACUCCGAUUGCGAAGGCAGUUCACUGGACUGCAACUGACACUGAGGCUCGAAAGUGUGGGUAUCAAACAGGAUUAGAUACCCUUGUAGUC
rnacentral:rRNA from 1 species